rnacentral:rRNA from 1 species
GACGAACGCUGGCGGCGUGCCUAAUACAUGCAAGUAGAACGCUGAAGGAGGAGCUUGCUUCUCUGGAUGAGUUGCGAACGGGUGAGUAACGCGUAGGUAACCUGCCUGGUAGUGGGGGAUAACUAUUGGAAACGAUAGCUAAUACCGCAUAAUAGCAGUUGUUGCAUGAUAACUGUUUGAAAGGUGCAAUUGCACCGCUACCAGAUGGACCUGCGUUGUAUUAGCUAGUUGGUGGGGUAACGGCUCACCAAGGCGACGAUACAUAGCCGACCUGAGAGGGUGAUCGGCCACACUGGGACUGAGACACGGCCCAGACUCCUACGGGAGGCAGCAGUAGGGAAUCUUCGGCAAUGGACGGAAGUCUGACCGAGCAACGCCGCGUGAGUGAAGAAGGUUUUCGGAUCGGAAAGCUCGGUUGUAAGAGAAGAACGAGUGUGAGAGUGGAAAGUUCACACUGUGACGGUAUCUUAACAGAAAGGGACGGCUAACUACGUG